rnacentral:rRNA from 1 species
AGUGAACGCUGGCGGUAGGCCUAACACAUGCAAGUCGAACGGCAGCACAGUAAGAGCUUGCUCUUACGGGUGGCGAGUGGCGGACGGGUGAGGAAUACAUCGGAAUCUACUUUUUCGUGGGGGAUAACGUAGGGAAACUUACGCUAAUACCGCAUACGACCUACGGGUGAAAGCAGGGGAUCUUCGGACCUUGCGCGAUUGAAUGAGCCGAUGUCGGAUUAGCUAGUUGGCGGGGUAAAGGCCCACCAAGGCGACGAUCCGUAGCUGGUCUGAGAGGAUGAUAAGCAACACUGGAAAUGAGAAACGGUCCAGACUCCUACGGGAGGCAGAAGUGGGGAAUAUGGACAAUGGGCGCAAGCCUGAUCCAGCCAUACCGCGUGGGUGAAGAAGGCCUUCGGGUUGUAAAGCCCCUUUGUUGGGAAAGAAAAGCAGCAGGUUAAUACCCCGCUGUUCUGACGGUACCCAAAGAAUAAGCACCGGCUAACUUCGUG